UGAUGCAAGGGCAGCCUGGCUGGGACAUCUGUGUCCCUGUUGAUUGCCAAGGUUGGUACGGCAGCUCUGGCUGAUGAGGCAGGUGGCAUUUGUCUCCCUCACCAGUCCAUGUGUAUCUCUGUUCAAGCUGAAUGCUCGCUUGGUCAUGGUUAAAGGGGAUAGCUGUAGAGGAGAACCAUUCUUGUUUCAAGGGCAUAUGAAGAGCUGUGUUCCCCUGCCUUCACCUUGAAACAAGCUCUGAAGGAGUUAUAUAUAAAUGUCUGGUAGCAGUUACCUUCCUGUUGCUGUGACAAAACACCUGACCAGAAGGA
rnacentral:snRNA from 1 species